AACGAACGCUGGCGGCAUGCCUAACACAUGCAAGUCGAACGAGACCUUCGGGUCUAGUGGCGCACGGGUGCGUAACGCGUGGGAACCUGCCCUUAGGUUCGGAAUAACUCCCCGAAAGGGGUGCUAAUAACGGAUAAUGUCUUCGGACCAAAGAUUUAUCGCCUGUGGAUGGGCCCGCGUUGGAUUAGCUAGUUGGUAGGGUAAAAGCCUACCAAGGCGACGAUCCAUAGCUGGUCUGAGAGGAUGAUCAGCCACACUGGGACUGAGACACGGCCCAGACUCCUACGGGAGGCAGCAGUGGGGAAUAUUGGACAAUGGGCGAAAGCCUGAUCCAGCAAUGCCGCGUGAGUGAUGAAGGCCUUAGGGUUGUAAAGCUCUUUUACCCGGGAUGAUAAUGACAGUACCGGGAGAAUAAGCUCCGGCUAACUCCGUG
rnacentral:rRNA from 1 species